GCCUGGGUGGCUCAGUUGGUUGAGCGUCCGACUUCGGCUCAGGUCAUGAUCUCACGGUCUGUGAGUUCGAGCCCCACAUCGGGCU
rnacentral:tRNA from 1 species